GAGCUUCUAGCAGUUGCUUAAUUCAUCUCUAAGCUACCUUUUGUCACCAUUUUAAGUGUUCUUCAGUCCGACAAAUUUCUCCAUUCAUUAUCUGGAUGAAUAUUACUGAAUCUUCACAAUUGGGCUAGACCAAGAUUGUGGAUACCUCUUGGUGGAUACCUUCAUUGAGGGAACUGACACAUGAGCAUCCUCAAGGAGUUGAUGCUGGAGAAGACUCAUGUGCAAUAACCUUCCUAUUAGACUCCUGAAAUGUUGAAAUGUGAUGUCGGAUUAGGCUGGAAACUCAGGU
rnacentral:lncRNA from 1 species